rnacentral:rRNA from 1 species
UACGUAGGUGGCGAGCGUUGUCCGGAUUUACUGGGCGUAAAGAGCGCGCAGGCGGUCGUACAAGUCGCGUGUGAAAGCCCCCGGCUCAACUGGGGAGGGUCACGCGAUACUGUUCGACUCGAAGGCAGGAGAGGGAAGUGGAAUUCCCGGUGUAGUGGUGAAAUGCGUAGAUAUCGGGAGGAACACCAGUGGCGAAGGCGACUUCCUGGCCUGUAACUGACACUGAGGCGCGAAAGCGUGGGGAGCGAACAGG